GUAGGGAAUAUUGGUCAAUGGACGAAAGUCUGAACCAGCCAUUCCGCGUGCAGGAAGAAGAUUCUAUGGAUUGUAAACUGCUUUUAGCAGAGAAGAAACGCCUUCAUUGAUGAGGGUUUGACGGUAUCUGCGGAAUAAGCACCGGCUAACUCCGUGCCAGCAGCCGCGGUAAUACGGGGGGUGCAAGCGUUAUCCGGAAUCACUGGGUUUAAAGGGUGCGUAGGCGGGAAAUUAAGUCAGUGGUGAAAGUCUGUUGCUUAACGAUAGAAUUGCCGUAGAUACUGAUUUUCUUGAAUUGGGUUGAGGUUAGCGGAAUGUGACAUGUAGCGGUGAAAUGCAUAGAUAUGUCAUGGAACACCAAUUGCGAAGGCAGCUAGCUGGGCCUUGAUUGACGCUGAGGCACGAAAGCGUGGGUAGCGAACAGGAUUAGAUACCCUGGUAGUCC
rnacentral:rRNA from 1 species